GACGAACCGAGCGAACGUUGUUCGGAAUCACUGGGCUUAAAGGGCGCGUAGGCGGGCGGUCACGUCCGGGGUGAAAUCCCACGGCUCAACCGUGGAACGGCCUCGGAUACGGGCGGCCUCGAGGGGGGUAGGGGCAUGCGGAACUGUGAGUGGAGCGGUGAAAUGCGUUGAUAUUCACAGGAACUCCGGUGGCGAAGGCGGCUUACUGGUCCGGUUCUGACGCUGAGGCGCGAAAGCGUGGGGAGCAAAACAGG
rnacentral:rRNA from 1 species